GACGAACCGAGCGAACGUUAUUCGGAAUCACUGGGCUUAAAGGGCGCGUAGGCGGGCCGGCGAGUCCGGGGUGAAAGCCCCCAGCCCAACUGGGGAACUGCCUCGGAUACUGGGUGCCUCGAGGGUGGUAGGGGUAUGCGGAACUAUCGGUGGAGCGGUGAAAUGCGUUGAUAUCGAUAGGAACUCCGGUGGCGAAGGCGGCAUACUGGACCACAUCUGACGCUGAGGCGCGAAAGCCAGGGGAGCAAACGGG
rnacentral:rRNA from 1 species